rnacentral:rRNA from 1 species
UUGGUUAAGUUAGAAAGGGCGCACGGUGGAUGCCUUGGCACUAGGAGCCGAAGAAGGACGGGACUAACACCGAUAUGCUUUGGGGAGCUGUACGUAAGCGUUGAUCCAGAGAUUUCCGAAUGGGGGAACCCACUAUCUUUAGUCGGAUAGUAUCCUUACGUGAAUACAUAGCGUGAGGAAGGCAGACCCAGGGAACUGAAACAUCUAAGUACCUGGAGGAAGAGAAAGAAAAAUCGAUUUCCUGAGUAGCGGCGAGCGAAACGGAAAGAGCCCAAACCAAGAAGCUUGCUUCUUGGGGUUGUAGGACACUCUAUACGGAGUUACAAAAGAAAGUUAUAAAUGAAGCGGUCUGGAAAGGCCCGCCAAAGACGGUAACAGCCCGGUAGUUGAAAUGGCUUUCCCUCCAGAGUGGAUCCUGAGUACGGCGGAACACGUGAAAUUCCGUCGGAAUCCGGGAGGACCAUCUCCCAAGGCUAAAUACUCCCUAGUGACCGAUAGUGAACCAGUACCGUGAGGGAAAGGUGAAAAGCACCCCGGAAGGGGAGUGAAACAGUUCCUGAAACCGUGUGCCUACAAGUAGUUAGAGCCCGUUAAUGGGUGAUAGCGUGCCUUUUGUAGAAUGAACCGGCGAGUUACGAUUUGUUGCAAGGUUAAGCGGAAAAAGCGGAGCCGUAGCGAAAGCGAGUCUGAAUAGGGCGCAUAAGUAACAGGUCGUAGACCCGAAACCAGGUGAUCUACCCAUGUCCAGGAUGAAGGUAAGGUAAUACUUACUGGAGGUCCGAACCCACGCACGUUGAAAAGUGCGGGGAUGAGGUGUGGGUAGCGGAGAAAUUCCAAUCGAACUUGGAGAUAGCUGGUUCUCUCCGAAAUAGCUUUAGGGCUAGCCUCGAGGUAAAGAGUCAUGGAGGUAGAGCACUGUUUGGACUAGGGGCCCUUCUCGGGUUACCGAAUUCAGAUAAACUCCGAAUGCCAUGUACUUAUACUCGGGAGUCAGACUGCGAGUGAUAAGAUCCGUAGUCGAAAGGGAAACAGCCCAGACCACCAGUUAAGGUCCCCAAAUAUAUGUUAAGUGGAAAAGGAUGUGGGGUUGCUUAGACAACCAGGAUGUUGGCUUAGAAGCAGCCACCAUUGAAAGAGUGCGUAAUAGCUCACUGGUCGAGUGACCCCGCGCCGAAAAUGUACCGGGGCUAAACAUAUUACCGAAACUGUGGAUGAACCUCUUUAGAGGUUCGUGGUAGGAGAGCGUUCUAAGGGCGGUGAAGUCAGACCGGAAGGACUGGUGGAGCGCUUAGAAGUGAGAAUGCCGGUAUGAGUAGCGAAAGAAGGGUGAGAAUCCCUUCCACCGAAUAUCUAAGGUUUCCUGAGGAAGGCUCGUCCGCUCAGGGUUAGUCGGGACCUAAGCCGAGGCCGAUAGGCGUAGGCGAUGGACAACAGGUAGAGAUUCCUGUACCAGUGCUAAUUGUUUAACCGAUGGGGUGACACAGAAGGAUAGGGAAUCGCACGAAUGGAAAUGUGCGUCCAAGCAGUGAGUGUGAGAAGUAGGCAAAUCCGCUUCUCGCGAAGCAUGAGCUGUGAUGGGGAAGGAAAUUAAGUACGGAAGUUCCUGAUUUCACGCUGUCAAGAAAAGCCUCUAGGAAGAGUAGUACUGCCCGUACCGCAAACCGACACAGGUAGAUGAGGAGAGAAUCCUAAGGUGAGCGAGAGAACUCUCGUUAAGGAACUCGGCAAAAUGACCCCGUAACUUCGGGAGAAGGGGUGCUCUAUUAGGGUGCAAGCCCGAGAGAGCCGCAGUGAAUAGGCCCAGGCGACUGUUUAGCAAAAACACAGGUCUCUGCAAAACCGUAAGGUGACGUAUAGGGGCUGACGCCUGCCCGGUGCUGGAAGGUUAAGAGGAGUGCUUAGCUUCGGCGAAGGUACGAAUUGAAGCCCCAGUAAACGGCGGCCGUAACUAUAACGGUCCUAAGGUAGCGAAAUUCCUUGUCGGGUAAGUUCCGACCCGCACGAAAGGCGCAACGAUCUGGGCACUGUCUCAACGAGAGACUCGGUGAAAUUAUAGUACCUGUGAAGAUGCAGGUUACCCGCGACAGGACGGAAAGACCCCGUGGAGCUUUACUGCAACCUGAUAUGGAAUGUUUGUACCGCUUGUACAGGAUAGGUAGGAGCCGAAGAGACGUGUGCGCUAGCAUACGAGGAGGCAAUGGUGGGAUACUACCCUGGCUGUAUGACCAUUCUAACCCGCCACGCUUAGCGCGUGGGGAGACAGUGUCAGGUGGGCAGUUUGACUGGGGCGGUCGCCUCCUAAAGAGUAACGGAGGCGCCCAAAGGUUCCCUCAGAAUGGAUGGAAAUCAUUCGCAGAGUGUAAAGGCACAAGGGAGCUUGACUG